AGAGUUUGAUUCUGGCUCAGAACGAACGCUGGCGGCGUGGAUAAGACAUGCAAGUCGAACGAUUAUUAUCGGGUAGCAAUAUUCGAUAGUGAGAGUGGCGCAAGGGUGCGUAACGCGUGGGAAAUCUGCCUUGAAGCUUGGAAUAACUCCGAGAAAUCGGAGCUAAUACCGAAUGUGAUUAUUGAAAGGCAUCUUUCGAUACUCAAAGUUGGGGACCGCAAGGCCUGACACUUCAAGAUGAUCCCGCGACCUAUCAGCUAGUUGGUGAGGUAAUGGCUCACCAAGGCUAAGACGGGUAGCUGGUCUGAGAGGACGACCAGCCACACUGGAACUGAGACACGGUCCAGACACCUACGGGUGGCAGCAGUCGAGAAUUUUUCUCAAUGGGCGAAAGCCUGAAGGAGCGACGCCGCGUGGGGGAUGAAUGGCUUCGGCCCGUAAACCCCUGUCAUUUGCGAUCAAACCUUACGACUUAACACGUCGUAAGCUGAUAGUAGCGGAAGAGGAAGGGACGGCUAACUCUGUGCCAGCAGCCGCGGUAAUACAGAGGUCCCAAGCGUUGUUCGGAUUUACUGGGCGUAAAGGGUGCGUAGGCGGUCGGGUAAGUCUGACGUGAAAUCUUCAAGCUUAACUUGGAAACUGCGUCGGAUACUAUUCGGCUAGAGGAAUGGAGGGGAGACUGGAAUACUUGGUGUAGCAGUGAAAUGCGUAGAUAUCAAGUGGAACACCAGUGGCGAAGGCGAGUCUCUGGACAUUUCCUGACGCUGAGGCACGAAAGCCAGGGGAGCAAACGGGAUUAGAUACCCCGGUAGUCCUGGCCCUAAACGGUGCACGUUUGCUGUAAGAGGAAUCGACCCCUUUUGUGGCGAAGCUAACGCGUUAAACGUGCCGCCUGGGAAGUACGGCCGCAAGGUUAAAACUCAAAGAAAUUGACGGGGGCCUGCACAAGCGGUGGAGUAUGUGGUUUAAUUCGAUGCAACGCGAAGAACCUUACCAGGGUUUGACAUCCUGCGAAUCCCUUGGAAACGAGGGAGUGCCUUCGGGAGCGGUAUCGUGACUGGGA
rnacentral:rRNA from 1 species